GCUGGGUGUGAUGGCGUAUGCCUGUGUUCCCUGGUGCUGAGGAGGCUUGUAGGUCUCCUGAGCUUGGGCGCUCUGAGCUGCAGUGAACCAAGUUGGGCACUUACUUGGUGAGCCCUCAGGAGAGGGAGGUCACCAAGUUGCCUAAGGAGGGGUGAACUGGCAGGUUGCUAAGAUAGCAUGUUAAAGCUCCUGUGUUGAUCACAGUCGGAUUGGGCCUGUGAAUAGCCCCUGCAUUUCUAGCCUAAACAAGAUAGGAAGACUCAGU
rnacentral:SRP_RNA from 1 species